rnacentral:lncRNA from 1 species
GUCCCCAAUUUAUAUUUAUCGAAAUAAAAUGUAUCGUGGACGUCUGAUACCAAAUAAGUUUCAUACAAAAUGUUGCGUUUAAUAAAAUACAUUGUGUUUUGUACGAUAUUGACAAAUUUGCUGAAUUUAACGGAGGGUGCGGUCCCAAUUGACAUAGUGACAGAGAAAGAUAAGGUAACUCGCAUCAAAAGAACCAAAGUGACAUUCUACUACCUGAUACCAGAUAAGGAUCCAAUGUACAGGCGACAAGCAACCAAUGUAACCACUGCACCAUAAUUAAAUAAAAAUUUCGAAU